rnacentral:rRNA from 2 species
UAAAUGACUCUCGGCAACGGAUAUCUCGGCUCUCGCAUCGAUGAAGAACGUAGCGAAAUGCGAUACUUGGUGUGAAUUGCAGAAUCCCGUGAACCAUCGAGUCUUUGAACGCAAGUUGCGCCCGAAGCCACCAGGCCGAGGGCACGUCUGCCUGGGCGU